rnacentral:rRNA from 1 species
AGAGUUUGAUCCUGGCUCAGGAUGAACGUUGGUAGUAUGCCUAACAUAUGCAAGUCGAGCGGAAAGUGGUAGCAAUAUCAUUUUUAGCGGCGGACGGGUGAGUAAUACUUAUCUUACCUACCGUUUAGUGGGGGAUAAAAUACCGCAUGUUCUUUGGCUUCGGCCCAAGGAAAGGAAGUCUUCGGACUUUCGCUAAAUGAGGGGGAUAAGUCGUAUCAGCUUGUUGGUGGGGUAAUGGCUCACCAAGGCAAUGACGCGUAGCCAGGCUGAGAGGCUGAUUGGCCACAAGGAACUGAGACAAGGUCCUACUCCUACGGGAGGCAGCAAUGGGGAAUCGUCGGCGAUGGGGGCAACCCUGACCGCGCAAUACUGCGUGAAGGAGGAAGGUCUACGGAUUGUAAACUUCUAUGGGUAGAGAUACCCUGAAAAAGCGACGACUAACUACGUGCCAGCAGUCGCGGCAAGACGUAGGUCGCGAACGUUAUCCGGAAUUAUUGGGCGUAAAGGGUGCGUAGAUGGUAUGAUAAGUUAUUGGUGGUAAAUCGAGGCUCAACCUCGUGGAAGCUGGUAAUACUGUUAUGCUUGAGUGCAGAAGAGGUUAACGGAACUCCCUGUGGAGCGGUAAAAUGUGAAGAUAUAGGGAAGAACACCAAUAACGGCGAAGGCAGUUAACUAUUCUGCUACUGACAUUGAGGCACGAAAGCGUGGGGAGCAAAACGGAUUAGAUACCCGUGUAGUCCACGCCCUAAACGAUGAGUACUAGAUAUUGGAAACUUGAUUUUCAGUGUCGCUAGUUAACACGGUAAGUACUCCGCCUGGGUAGUACGCUCGCAAGAGUGAAACUCAAAGGAAUUGACGGGGACUCGCACAAGCAGUGGAGCAUGUGGUUUAAUCCGAUACGGCGCGUAGAACCUUACCAAGGCUUGACAUGUUGGGCAAAGCUAGGGAAACCUAGUGGAGGUUAUCCUAACACAGGUGCUGCAUGGCCGUCGUCAGUUCGUGCCGUGAGGUGUAUGGUUAAGUCCUAUAACGAACGCAACCCUUGGGCUUAGUUGCCAGCAUUAAGUUGGGGACUCUAAGCCGAUUGCCUAAGUAAUUAGGAGGAAGGAAAGGAUGACGUCUGGUCGUCAUGGCCCUUAUGCCUUGGGCGACACACGUGCUACAAUGGCUAAUACAAAGGGACGCCAACCCGCGAGGGGGAGCAAAUCUCAAAAAAUUAGCCUCAGUUCGGAUUGGAGGCUGCAACUCGCCUCCAUGAAGUUGGAAUUGCUAGUAAUCGCAAAUCAGCCAUGUUGCGGUGAAUACGUUCUCGAGUCCUGUACACACCGCCCGUCAAAUCACGAAAAUCGGUAAUACCUGAAGUCAAUGAAUAGUUGAUUAGGGUAGGAUUGGUAAUUGGGGUUAAGUCGUAACAAGGUAACCG